rfam:Chlorocebus sabaeus isolate 1994-021 chromosome 13, whole genome shotgun sequence.
GCUGGGUGUGAUGGCUCACGCCUGUAAUCCCAGCACUUUGGGAGGCUGAGGUGGGCGGAUCACUUGAGCUCAGGAGUUGGAGACCAGCCUGGGCAACAUGGUGAAACCCCAUCUCUA